UUGAACGCUGGCGGCAUGCUUUACACAUGCAAGUCGAACGGUAGACCCUUUCGGGGGUUGAGAGUGGCGAACGGGUGAGUAAUGCAUCGGAACAUAUCCAGUCGUGGGGGAUAACGUAGCGAAAGUUACGCUAAUACCGCAUGAGUCCUGAGGGAGAAAGCGGGGGAUCGCAAGACCUCGCGCGAUUGGAGUGGCCGAUGUCAGAUUAGCUAGUUGGUGGGGUAAAGGCCUACCAAGGCGACGAUCUGUAGCGGGUCUGAGAGGAUGAUCCGCCACACUGGGACUGAGACACGGCCCAGACUCCUACGGGAGGCAGCAGUGGGGAAUUUUGGACAAUGGGGGAAACCCUGAUCCAGCCAUUCCGCGUGAGUGAAGAAGGCCUUCGGGUUGUAAAGCUCUUUCAGGAGGGAAGAAACGGUUGCGGCUAAUACCCGCGACUAAUGACGGUACCUUCAGAAGAAGCACCGGCUAACUACGU
rnacentral:rRNA from 1 species